UACCAGCACCCCGAGUGGUCGGGACGUUUAUUGGGCCUAAAGCAUCCGUAGCCGGUUCUACAAGUCUUCCGUUAAAUCCACCUGCUCAACAGAUGGGCUGCGGAAGAUACUAUGGAGCUAGGAGGCGGGAGAGGCAAGCGGUACUCGAUGGGUAGGGGUAAAAUCCGUUGAUCCGUUGAAGACCACCAGUGGCGAAGGCGGCUUGCCAGAACGCGCUCGACGGUGAGGGAUGAAAGCUGGGGGAGCAAACCGG
rnacentral:rRNA from 1 species